rnacentral:rRNA from 1 species
CAUUGCUAUCGGGGUCCGAUUUAGCCAUGCUAGUCGAACGGGUUAAGACCCGUGGCGAAUAGCUCAGUAACACGUAGAUAAACUACCCUAUGGACUGUGAUAACCUCGGAAAACUGAGGGUAAUAACAGAUAGUACUCCUACGCUGGAAUGCAGUGAGUACGAAAUGCUCCGGUGCCAUAGGAUGUGACUGCGGCCGAUCAGGUAGACGGUGGGGUAACGGCCCACCGUGCCGAUAAUCGGUACGGGUGGUGAGAGCCAGAGCCCGGAGAUGGAAUCUGAGACAAGAUUCCAGGCCCUAUGGGGCGCAGCAGGCGCGAAAACUUUACAAUGCGCGAAAGCGCGAUAAGGGGACCCCGAGUGCGAGGGCAUAACGUCCUCGCUUUUGUAUAUCGUAAGAAGAUACACGAAUAAGGGCUGGGCAAGACCGGUGCCAGCCGCCGCGGUAAUACCGGCAGCUCGAGUGAUGAUCACUAUUAUUGGGCCUAAAGCGUCCGUAGCCGGUCGAACAAGUCCUUCGGUAAAUCCACUCGCUCAACGAGUGGGCUCUCGAGGGAAACUGUUCGACUUGGGGCCGGGAGAUCCGAGGGGUACGUCUAGGGUAGGAGUGAAAUCCUGUAAUCCUAGACAGACCGCCGGUGGCGAAAGCGCCUCAGAAGAACGGACCCGACGGUCAGGGACGAAAGCUAGGGUCUCGAACCGGAUUAGAUACCCGGGUAGUCCUAGCCGUAAACGAUGCUCGCUAGGUGU